GACGACGAGAUCAUCGGCCGAUAGACCUUUGGAAUUGAAAAGUUUGAGAAGCUGAUCGACGGUGGAAUUUGCUCGUGGUAGAUUGGAACCUACUCUGGACGCCAUUGAGAUCUUCCCGUCCCAUCUUCCCUUCUUCACCGGAAAAUGACUAGAUUUUAUUGAAUCAAGAGAAAAGGCGAAGGCUCUCACCAAAUGGACAAAAUCUCUGGCUGCAAUUGCGAGGAUGUCAGCACAAGACACAACACCAGGGCAUUUGCUCUCAACCAACGCCUUGGCUUUCUUGAUGCUUUCAAACGCCUCCGGUCUCAGGCCUUUAUUGUCCACUGCAUCCUUUUCCGCCGCCACUUUGCUGCCUGGCUUUGUUGAUAUCAGAAUCGACCCGUCACAGCCCUGCCAUUUUCAAGAGCUUUCUCAAAAUCCAGGCAAUGAUGCAGAUGUGUGGCUCGAAUUCUUGUCCCAAUCUAGAAAGUGUGUGGGGGCAACUUACAAAAUGGAGGAAAACAAAACAAAACAGAGAUGGCCAGACAUUUAUACCAUAUUUUAUCACCACAAUCAAUUCUUAAUUUAUGUUUGUAAUUUUUUUCCCUUGUGAAUAUUUUUUUAUUACAUAAAAUAUAUAUGUACUUUAUAUCGUUGCAUUUAUCUUGCAUUUCGCCAUAAAAUUUGGCUGCCACUGAAAAAAAUGAAAUAAAUGGAAGGCUGAUAAAAGCUGAUGCAUAGAGAGCGUGACAGAAGCCCCGGAAUAAGCCAAGUCAAGCAUGAGCGAUGAACUUCAUAAAUGCAAGGCAUGUGCUAGCACAGGUACAUCACUCACUUAACUUUACCCCAUUUGUUCUACUCAUAUCAAUGUCAUCCACCUGAUUUCAUUCCCCACUUUGGUGUUAA